rnacentral:rRNA from 1 species
GCAAGCCUGACGACGCAACGCCGCGUGGAGGAUGAAGAUCUUCGGGUCGUAAACUCCUGUCGAAUGGGACGAAUGGCCUGGCCGUGAACAACGGUCGGGAAUGACGGUACCGUGAGAGGAAGCCCCGGCUAACUCCGUGCUAGCAGCCGCGGUAAUACGGGGGGGGCGAGCGUUGUUCGGAAUUAUUGGGCGUAAAGGGCUCGUAGGCGGCCUGCUAAGUCGAACGUGAAAUCCCUCGGCUCAACCGGGGAACUGCGUUCGAGACUGGCGGGCUCGAAUCCGGGAGAGGGAUGUGGAAUUCCAGGUGUAGCGGUGAAAUGCGUAGAUAUCUGGAGGAACACCGGUGGCGAAGGCGGCAUCCUGGACCGGUAUUGACGCUGAGGAGCGAAAGCCAGGGGAGCAAACGGGAUUAGAUACCCCGGUAGUCCUGGCCCUAAACGAUGAGUGCUUGGUGUGGCGGGUAUCGAUCCCCGCCGUGCCGGAGCUAACGCGUUAAGCACUCCGCCUGG